AAUAGCCCUUGGCUACCCCGAGCACAUCCCGUGCUACCUCCCUAACCAAGUUCGCCGUCUCUGACCACAUAGCGUUCGCUUCCCCAGAACUUUCGAAGCUCCGCCCUCAGCUAACCUCCUCUCCAACUCUGUGCUCUCUCCUAAGUCAAAACACCCCAUCUAGUACGCGGUUGUCCUCGAGAACCCCUCCUCUUCCUCUUCACCCAAAGACCGACAUCCAUCACAAGGAGUCUAUGAAGAGUCGAAAGGGACUCUCCCUAGCUUCCGUAACCGCCAGCUUUGAUUCUUUCCUCGCCACCUUAUAAAUCUCCCUGUUUGCUCUCCGCUCUUCCUCUCUUAUGCUCCCUGCCAACUUAGCAAACGCCGCCUUCUUCACCUCCACUUUUCCUUCGACUACAUUCUUCUCAGAUUGGGGAAUACUACUCACCAGAUCGUCCAAGCCCUCCCAAAAGCAUCUCUUAACCUCCUCGUCUAAGCCCGCGUGCGGCACGUAAGCGCUGAUGACGUUGAGUACGCAACCCCCAAUAACCAACUUAAUAGACAUUAACCUAUCAUUCACUCGCCUAACCUCAACCACGGACUC
rnacentral:lncRNA from 1 species